AUAGCCCUGCUGUGUGCGUGAUAUCGCCCUCACGUUUUGAGCCAACAUCUUUACAACGGUCUCUUAUUUUGAAGAAAUAACGCGAUAGGCCCGAGCCAAGGCGGCGUUUCCCAAUACGAGACCACCUGCGCAAGCAGGUUCAAAACCUGGCGGUACACGGCAUAAGCGGGGUCUUU
rnacentral:other from 1 species